CCUACGGGAGGCAGCAGUGAGGAAUAUUGGUCAAUGGACGAGAGUCUGAACCAGCCAAGUAGCGUGAAGGAUGACUGCCCUAUGGGUUGUAAACUUCUUUUGUAUGGGAAUAAAAUGUUCCACGUGUGGGCUUUUGUAUGUACCAUAUGAAUAAGGAUCGGCUAACUCCGUGCCAGCAGCCGCGGUAAUACGGAGGAUCCGAGCGUUAUCCGGAUUUAUUGGGUUUAAAGGGAGCGUAGGUGGAUUGUUAAGUCAGUUGUGAAAGUUUGCGGCUCAACCGUAAAAUUGCAGUUGAAACUGGCAGUCUUGAGUACAGUAGAGGUGGGCGGAAUGCGUGGUGUAGCGGUGAAAUGCUUAGAUAUCACGAAGAACUCCGAUUGCGAAGGCAGCUCACUGGACUGCAACUGACACUGAGGCUCGAAAGUGUGGGUAUCAAACAGGAUUAGAUACCCUUGUAGUC
rnacentral:rRNA from 1 species